rnacentral:rRNA from 2 species
GACUUUAGGAGCUUGGUUUUAAAGUUAGCGCCGGACGGGUGAGUAACGCGCGGGCAACCUGCGUGUGAGACUGGGAUAUCUCCGGGAAACCGGAGCUCAUAUCGGGUAAUCCUUUUCCUCUCGUGAGGAAAAGCUGAAAAACGGUUUAUGCUGUGUCUUACAGAUGGGCCCCCGCCGCGCUAUCUCGUUGGGGAGGUAACGGCUCUCCCAGGCGACAAUGCGCAGCCCAGCUCUGAGGGGGAUCGGCCACACUGGGACUGAGACACGGCCCAGACUCCUACGGGGGGCGGCAGUAGGGAAUCUCCCCCAAUGGGCAAAAGUCUGUCGCAGCAACGCCCCGUGAGUGAUAAAAGUUUUCGGAUCUCAAAACUCUGUUGUUAUAGAAAAAAAAGUGCACGAGUAACUGCGUGUACCCUGAGGGUACCUAAACAGAAAGCCCCGGCUAACAACAUGCCCGCGGCCGCGGUAAUAUGCAUGUGGCAAGCGCUGUGCGGGGAUAUAGUGCGUAAAGCGCGCGCACACGCGUUCUUAAGUGUGAUGUGAGAGAGCACGGGUCUUACGCGGAGAGUG